rnacentral:rRNA from 1 species
ACGGCGAGUGAAGCGGCAACAGCUCAAAUUUGAAAUCUGGCCCCUUCGGGGUCCGAGUUGUAAUUUGCAGAGGGUGCUUUUGGUGUUGGCCGUGGUCUAAGUUCCUUGGAACAGGACGUCACAGAGGGUGAGAAUCCCGUACGUGGCCGCCGGCCCUCGCCUUGUAAAGCCCCUUCGACGAGUCGAGUUGUUUGGGAAUGCAGCUCUAAAUGGGAGGUAAAUUUCUUCUAAAGCUAAAUACCCGCCAGAGACCGAUAGCGCACAAGUAGAGUGAUCGAAAGAUGAAAAGCACUUUGGAAAGAGAGUGAAAAAGCACGUGAAAUUGUUGAAAGGGAAGCGCUUGCGGCCAGACGUGCCCGCGGUUGUUCAUCUGGGCUCUCGCCCGGUGCACUCCUCCGCGGGCAGGCCAGCAUCAGUUUGGGCGGUCGGACAAAGGUCUCUGUCACGUACCACCCCUCGGGGUGGCCUUAUAGGGGAGACGCAACACGGCCAGCCUGGACUGAGGUUCCGCGCAUCUGCUAGGAUGCUGGCGUAAUGGCAGCAAGCGGCCCGUCUUGAAACACGGACCAAGGAGUCUAACAUCUAUGCGAGUGUUUGGGUGUCAAGCCCGAGCGCGUAAUGAAAGUGAACGGAGGUGGGAACCCCUCGGGGCGCACCAUCGACCGAUCCUGAUGUCUUCGGAUGGAUUUGAGUAAGAGCAUAGCUGUUGGGACCCGAAAGAUGGUGAACUAUGCCUGAAUAGGGUGAAGCCAGAGGAAACUCUGGUGGAGGCUCGCAGCGGUUCUGACGUGCAAAUCGAUCGUCAAAUUUGGGCAUAGGGGCGAAAGACUAAUCGAACCAUCUAGUAGCUGGUUCCUGCCGAAGUUUCCCUCAGGA